AGAAUCAACGCUGGCGGCGUGCCUAACACGUGCAAGUCGAACGAGAAAGUGGAGCAAUCCAUGAGUAAAGUGGCGACCGGGUGAGUAACACGUGACUAACCUACCUUCGAGUGGGGGAUAACCUCGGGAAACCGAGGCUAAUACCGCAUAACAUCGUGAGAUCAAAGCAGUAAUGCGCUGGAAGAGGGGGUCGCGGCUGAUUAGCUAGUUGGCGGGUAAUGGCCCACCAAGGCGAAGAUCGGUA
rnacentral:rRNA from 1 species